GGGGACAUGGCGGAACUGGUAGACGCACCGGAUUUAAAAUCCGUUGGGCAUAGCCCGUCCGGGUUCGACUCCCGGUGUCCCUACCA
rnacentral:tRNA from 1 species